rnacentral:rRNA from 1 species
GACGAACGCUGGCGGCGUGGAUUAGGCAUGCAAGUCGAACGGUAUCAUCCUUUCGGGGGUGAGAGAGUGGCGAACUGGUGAGUAACACGUAGGUUAUCUACCCUCAAGACGGGGACAACCCAGGGAAACUUGGGCUAAUACCGGAUGUGAGCAACUUUUAGUUGUUUGAAAGGUGGCGUAAGCUGUCGCUUGGGGAUGAGCCUGCGUCCUAUUAGUUAGUUGGUGAGGUAACGGCUCACCUAGGCAAUGAUAGGUAGGCGGCCUUAACGGGUGGUCGCCCCACACUGGGAUUGAGAUACGGCCCAGACUCCUACGGGAGGCAGCAGUCGAGAAUAGUCUACAAUGGUCGGAAGACUGAUAGUGCGACGCCGCGUGAACGAUGAAUCCCUUCGGGGUGUAAAGUUCUUUUAUAUGUGAGCAGUGCUUCUUAUAUUAACAGUAUGGGGAGAGAGAUAUUAGCAUAUGAAUAAGCAACGGCUAACUCCGUGCCAGCAGCCGCGGUAAU